UACGUAGGGUGCGAGCGUUGUCCGGAAUUACUGGGCGUAAAGAGCUCGUAGGUGGUUUGUCGCGUUGUCCGUGAAAACUCACAACUCAAUUGUGGGCGUGCGGGCGAUACGGGCAGACUGGAGUACUGCAGGGGAGACUGGAAUUCCUGGUGUAGCGGUGAAAUGCGCAGAUAUCAGGAAGAACACCCGUGGCGAAGGCGGCUCUCUGGGACGGCACUGACGCUGAGACGCGAAAGCGUGGGGAGCGAACAGG
rnacentral:rRNA from 1 species